GCAGAGACAGGAGUGAUGAAGCCAGAAGCCAAGGAAUGCCCAGGGCUGCAGCAGUGCCUGAAACUAAGAGAAAGAGAAAGGCAUGCAACAGACUCCCUUUCAGACUUCAGAGAGAGCAUGGCCCUGCCAACACCUUGAUUUCAGACUUCUGGCCUCCAGAAGAGUAAAAGAAUAAACUUACGUGCCAUCCAAGGGAGUCACUGUGGUGUCACCUGCCUCCUUGGCCCCCCCUUGCCAUCCAGCCUGGAGCUCACCCAGUGUCCCCUCUCUCCUCUGGGGGAGCCAUGAAGGUGACCAUGGGAAAUGACCUAAGAGGGCUGUGGCUGGAGCACUGAACCCCAGCUGACCAGAAGCAAUCAAUCAGACCCCAGCCACCAAUAAGAGACCAAUAUGCCAACCACAGCAGGGGGUCCAAGUCUGCUCUGGAAGAGGGUCAGGAGGGCCCAGAUGGGACAGAGGCCAACCCAAGUCCAUGUGGAUCUUCCCACAGGGCCCAGAGAUGGGAGCCAAGGCCACAUCUUCUCCAUGAGACCGCCAUUGGAUACACUCCUUCACGUCCUCCAAAAACACAAGCAGAUGGGCAGAUCCCCUUCUCUCCACUUCUCUCCCCAAUCCCUUCACCUAUGUUCCAAACCUCUUAUUACUCAGAAAGAGGAGAAAGAAUUAAACGUAUGCAUCAUUUGAUUUUAA